UACAGAGGGUGCAAGCGUUGUCCGGAAUUACUGGGCGUAAAGGGCGCGUAGGCGGCUCGAUAAGUAGGGGGUGAAAUUCCGCGGCUCAACCGCGGGGCGGCCUUCUAGACUGUCGGACUUGAGCACGGUAGAGGCGAAUGGAAUUCCCGGUGUAGCGGUGGAAUGCGUAGAGAUCGGGAAGAACACCAGUGGCGAAGGCGGUUCGCUGGGCCGUUGCUGACGCUGAGGCGCGAUAGCGUGGGGAGCAAACAGG
rnacentral:rRNA from 1 species